UACGGGGGGGGCAAGCGUUGUUCGGAAUUACUGGGCGUAAAGGGCUCGUAGGCGGCCAACUAAGUCAGACGUGAAAUCCCUCGGCUUAACCGGGGAACCGCGUCUGAUACUGGAUGGCUUGAGUUUGGGAGAGGGAUGCGGAAUUCCAGGUGUAGCGGUGAAAUGCGUAGAUAUCUGGAGGAACACCGGUGGCGAAGGCGGCAUCCUGGACCAACACUGACACUGAGGAGCGAAAGCCAGGGGAGCAAACGGG
rnacentral:rRNA from 1 species